rnacentral:lncRNA from 1 species
CCUUGUAUAAGUCAUUCAAACUUUAACACUAGUAAGAUAUCUUAUUUCAAUUCAGAAAUUCAAACUCUGACUUGAAUAAUUAAUACACUUCACCAUCUUCAACAAUCACAAGAAAAAUUAAAAAAAAUCUAAUCCAAAGAUAGUAAUAUGAAUUAUUAAAGAUUUCAUCAUAACCUGUAUAUCGUACUCUGACAAAAUAAAUUUUCUUCUUUACUUUAACA